rnacentral:rRNA from 1 species
GGGUUGUGAGGUUAAGCGACUAAGCGUACACGGUGGAUGCCCUGGCAGUCAGAGGCGAUGAAGGACGUGCUAAUCUGCGAUAAGCGUCGGUAAGGUGAUAUGAACCGUUAUAACCGGCGAUUUCCGAAUGGGGAAACCCAGUGUGAUUCGUCACACUAUCAUUAACUGAAUCCAUAGGUUAAUGAGGCGAACCGGGGGAACUGAAACAUCUAAGUACCCCGAGGAAAAGAAAUCAACCGAGAUUCCCCCAGUAGCGGCGAGCGAACGGGGAGCAGCCCAGAGCCUGAAUCAGUGUGUGUGUUAGUGGAAGCGUCUGGAAAGGCGYGCGAUACAGGGUGACAGCCCCGUACACAAAAAUGCACAURCUGUGAGCUCGAUGAGUAGGGCGGGACACGUGGUAUCCUGUCUGAAUAUGGGGGGACCAUCCUCCAAGGCUAAAUACUCCUGACUGACCGAUAGUGAACCAGUACCGUGAGGGAAAGGCGAAAAGAACCCCGGCGAGGGGAGUGAAAAAGAACCUGAAACCGUGUACGUACAAGCAGUGGGAGCACAGAGCAAUCUGUGUGACUGCGUACCUUUUGUAUAAUGGGUCAGCGACUUAUAUUCUGUAGCAAGGUUAACCGAAUAGGGGAGCCGAAGGGAAACCGAGUCUUAACUGGGCGUUAAGUUGCAGGGUAUAGACCCGAAACCCGGUGAUCUAGCCAUGGGCAGGUUGAAGGUUGGGUAACACUAACUGGAGGACCGAACCGACUAAUGUUGAAAAAUUAGCGGAUGACUUGUGGCUGGGGGUGAAAGGCCAAUCAAACCGGGAGAUAGCUGGUUCUCCCCGAAAGCUAUUUAGGUAGCGCCUCGUGAAUUCAUCUCCGGGGGUAGAGCACUGUUUCGGCAAGGGGGUCAUCCCGACUUACCAACCCGAUGCAAACUGCGAAUACCGGAGAAUGUUAUCACGGGAGACACACGGCGGGUGCUAACGUCCGUCGUGAAGAGGGAAACAACCCAGACCGCCAGCUAAGGUCCCAAAGUCAUGGUUAAGUGGGAAACGAUGUGGGAAGGCCCAGACAGCCAGGAUGUUGGCUUAGAAGCAGCCAUCAUUUAAAGAAAGCGUAAUAGCUCACUGGUCGAGUCGGCCUGCGCGGAAGAUGUAACGGGGCUAAACCAUGCACCGAAGCUGCGGCAGCGACRCUUAUGYGUUGUUGGGUAGGGGAGCGUUCUGUAAGCCUGYGAAGGUGURCUGUGAGGYAUGCUGGAGGUAUCAGAAGUGCGAAUGCUGACAUAAGUAACGAUAAAGCGGGUGAAAAGCCCGCUCGCCGGAAGACCAAGGGUUCCUGUCCAACGUUAAUCGGGGCAGGGUGAGUCGACCCCUAAGGCGAGGCCGAAAGGCGUAGUCGAUGGGAAACAGGUUAAUAUUCCUGUACUUGGUGUUACUGCGAAGGGGGGACGGAGAAGGCUAUGUUGGCCGGGCGACGGUUGUCCCGGUUUAAGCGUGUAGGCUGGUUUUCCAGGCAAAUCCGGAAAAUYAAGGCUGAGGCGUGAUGACGAGGCACUACGGUGCUGAAGCAACAAAUGCCCUGCUUCCAGGAAAAGCCUCUAAGCAUCAGGUAACAUCAAAUCGUACCCCAAACCGACACAGGUGGUCAGGUAGAGAAUACCAAGGCGCUUGAGAGAACUCGGGUGAAGGAACUAGGCAAAAUGGUGCCGUAACUUCGGGAGAAGGCACGCUGAUAUGUAGGUGAAGUCCCUCGCGGAUGGAGCUGAAAUCAGUCGAAGAUACCAGCUGGCUGCAACUGUUUAUUAAAAACACAGCACUGUGCAAACACGAAAGUGGACGUAUACGGUGUGACGCCUGCCCGGUGCCGGAAGGUUAAUUGAUGGGGUYAGCGCAAGCGAAGCUCUUGAUCGAAGCCCCGGUAAACGGCGGCCGUAACUAUAACGGUCCUAAGGUAGCGAAAUUCCUUGUCGGGUAAGUUCCGACCUGCACGAAUGGCGUAAUGAUGGCCAGGCUGUCUCCACCCGAGACUCAGUGAAAUUGAACUCGCUGUGAAGAUGCAGUGUACCCGCGGCAAGACGGAAAGACCCCGUGAACCUUUACUAUAGCUUGACACUGAACAUUGAGCCUUGAUGUGUAGGAUAGGUGGGAGGCUUKGAAGUGUGGACGCCAGUCUGCAUGGAGCCGACCUUGAAAUACCACCCUUUAAUGUUUGAUGUUCUAACGUUGACCCGUAAUCCGGGUUGCGGACAGUGUCUGGUGGGUAGUUUGACUGGGGCGGUCUCCUCCUAAAGAGUAACGGAGGAGCACGAAGGUUGGCUAAUCCUGGUCGGACAUCAGGAGGUUAGUGCAAUGGCAUAAGCCAGCUUGACUGCGAGCGUGACGGCGCGAGCAGGUGCGAAAGCAGGUCAUAGUGAUCCGGUGGUUCUGAAUGGAAGGGCCAUCGCUCAACGGAUAAAAGGUACUCCGGGGAUAACAGGCUGAUACCGCCCAAGAGUUCAUAUCGACGGCGGUGUUUGGCACCUCGAUGUCGGCUCAUCACAUCCUGGGGCUGAAGUAGGUCCCAAGGGUAUGGCUGUUCGCCAUUUAAAGUGGUACGCGAGCUGGGUUUAGAACGUCGUGAGACAGUUCGGUCCCUAUCUGCCGUGGGCGCUGGAGAACUGAGGGGGGCUGCUCCUAGUACGAGAGGACCGGAGUGGACGCAUCACUGGUGUUCGGGUUGUCAUGCCAAUGGCACUGCCCGGUAGCUAAAUGCGGAAGAGAUAAGUGCUGAAAGCAUCUAAGCACGAAACUUGCCCCGAGAUGAGUUCUCCCUGACUCCUUGAGAGUCCUGAAGGAACGUUGAAGACGACGACGUUGAUAGGCCGGGUGUGUAAGCGCAGCGAUGCGUUGAGCUAACCGGUACUAAUGAACCGUGAGGCUUAACCUUACAACGCCGAAGVUGUU